rnacentral:rRNA from 1 species
CGGGUGAGUAACGCGUGGGUAAUCUACCUCCGAAUCGGGGAUAACCCGCCGAAAGGCGAGCUAAUACCGGAUAAUAUCUUUAAAACUUCGGUUUUUAAGAUCAAAGGUGGUCUCUACAUGUAAGCUACUGUUUGGAGAUGAGCCCGCGUACCAUUAGCUUGUUGGUAGGGUAAUGGCCUACCAAGGCCGCGAUGGUUAGCUGGUCUGAGAGGAUGAUCAGCCACACUGGAACUGACACACGGUCCAG